GGCCCUGUGGCCUAAUGGAUAAGGGGUCGCUCUCCUAAAGGAAAGAUUGCAGGUUCGAGUCCUGCCUGGGUCG
rnacentral:tRNA from 1 species